GAAGAAAGUUAUGGGGAUUUAGGAUUGAAAUUUUUAUGGGGACUUAGAGGAAGGUUCAAAGAAACUUUUGUAUAAAAUUAGAAGGUUCUGGGGUAAUUAGGGCCAGAGUUAUGGA